UACAGAGGUCUCAAGCGUUGUUCGGACUCAUUGGGCGUAAAGGGUGCGUAGGUGGCGCUGUAAGUCGGGUGUGAAAUUUCGGAGCUUAACUCCGAAACUGCAUUCGAUACUGCGGUGCUUGAGGACUGGAGAGGAGACUGGAAUUCAUGGUGUAGCAGUGAAAUGCGUAGAGAUCAUGAGGAAGACCAGUGGCGAAGGCGGGUCUCUGGACAGUUCCUGACACUGAGGCACGAAGGCCAGGGGAGCAAACGGG
rnacentral:rRNA from 1 species